rnacentral:rRNA from 1 species
GAUGAACGCUGGCGGCGUGCCUAAUACAUGCAAGUCGAGCGAACGGACGAGAAGCUUGCUUCUCUGAUGUUAGCGGCGGACGGGUGAGUAACACGUGGAUAACCUACCUAUAAGACUGGGAUAACUUCGGGAAACCGGAGCUAAUACCGGAUAAUAUUUUGAACCGCAUGGUUCAAAAGUGAAAGACGGUCUUGCUGUCACUUAUAGAUGGAUCCGCGCUGCAUUAGAUAGUUGGUAAGGUAACGGCCUACCAAGGCAACGAUGCAUAGCCGACCGGAGAGGGUGAUCGGCCACAUUGGAACUGAGACACGGUCCAGACUCCUACGGGAGGCAGCAGUAGGGAAUCGUCCGCAAGGGGCGAAAGCCUGACGGAGCAACGCCGCGUGAGUGAUGAAGGUCUUCGGAUCGUAAAACUCUGUUAUUAGGGAAGAACAUAUGUGUAAGUAACUGUGCACAGCUUGACGGUACCUAAUCAGAAAGCCACGGCUAACUACGUG